UUAGUACUCCCUUCGUCUCAAAAUUCUUGUCUUAAAUUUGUCUAGAUACAGAUGUAUCUAAUACUAAAAUGUGACUUGAUACAUCCAUAUUUAGACAAAUCUAAGACAAGAAUUUUGGGAUGGAGGAAGUAUUAU
rnacentral:pre_miRNA from 1 species